rnacentral:rRNA from 1 species
GGGCAUGCGGGCGGCUACACAUGCAAGUCGAGCGGUAGAGAGAAGCUUGCUUCUCUUGAGAGCGGCGGACGGGUGAGUAAUGCCUAGGAAUCUGCCUGGUAGUGGGGGAUAACGUUCGGAAACGGACGCUAAUACCGCAUACGUCCUACGGGAGAAAGCAGGGGACCUUCGGGCCUUGCGCUAUCAGAUGAGCCUAGGUCGGAUUAGCUAGUUGGUGAGGUAAUGGCUCACCAAGGCGACGAUCCGUAACUGGUCUGAGAGGAUGAUCAGUCACACUGGAACUGAGACACGGUCCAGACUCCUACGGGAGGCAGCAGUGGGGAAUAUUGGACAAUGGGCGAAAGCCUGAUCCAGCCAUGCCGCGUGUGUGAAGAAGGUCUUCGGAUUGUAAAGCACUUUAAGUUGGGAGGAAGGGUUGUAGAUUAAUACUCUGCAAUUUUGACGUUACCGACAGAAUAAGCACCGGCUAACUCUGUGCCAGCAGCCGCGGUAAUACAGAGGGUGCAAGCGUUAAUCGGAAUUACUGGGCGUAAAGCGCGCGUAGGUGGUUUGUUAAGUUGGAUGUGAAAUCCCCGGGCUCAACCUGGGAACUGCAUUCAAAACUGACUGACUAGAGUAUGGUAGAGGGUGGUGGAAUUUCCUGUGUAGCGGUGAAAUGCGUAGAUAUAGGAAGGAACACCAGUGGCGAAGGCGACCACCUGGACUAAUACUGACACUGAGGUGCGAAAGCGUGGGGAGCAAACAGGAUUAGAUACCCUGGUAGUCCACGCCGUAAACGAUGUCAACUAGCCGUUGGAAGCCUUGAGCUUUUAGUGGCGCAGCUAACGCAUUAAGUUGACCGCCUGGGGAGUACGGCCGCAAGGUUAAAACUCAAAUGAAUUGACGGGGGCCCGCACAAGCGGUGGAGCAUGUGGUUUAAUUCGAAGCAACGCGAAGAACCUUACCACGCCUUGACAUCCAAUGAACUUUCUAGAGAUAGAUUGUGCCUUCGGGAACAUUGAGACAGUGCUGCAUGCUGUCGUCAGCUCGUGUCGUGAGAUGUGGUAGUCCGUACGAGCGCACCCUUGUCCUAGUUACAGCACGUAUGGUGGCACUCUAAGGAGACUGCCGGUGACAACCGA